CUGGGAUCGGCUCUAGCACUCCGGCGACCCUUGUGAGGUACCUGUCUCCUAUCAACAUCACCACUGGUGAAUAUAAGCCUGCCUGUUCUCAGAAACCCUCGCCAAAGUAUUCCAGCCUCUUCUAGCGAUACCAUGGCCGACAUCACUAAAUUAAAACACCCGCCUCACCUGAAAGGCCACCAGGAUCGCAGGGGACUCAACUGACCCAUCCCACUGCCUUUUCAAUUUGCUGCCUUCAGGGAGGAGACUGUUGACUCUUUGGGACAAAGCCAACAGGCUCAAAGAGAGUUUCUUCCACUACGCAGUCAGGAUGCUCAACUCCCUUUCUGGUUUGCCCUCAUUAUUAUCCUGCACUGGCACCCACCACCACUGACCCUAGACCAGAAAUUAAGCUCAUGCACAGCACUUUGAACAGUAUUCGCGUUGCCCUUGCAGCACAGUGUAGAUUACCCAACUGAUUAAUCUGCUACACUGUUGAGAAAUGUCUAUAAUUUAU